UCCGGUGGUGUAGCCCGGUUUAGCAUAGCGGCCUUUCGAGCCUCGCAGAAGCAUGGAGGCCGAGAAAGUCGCUGAUCGCGGGUUCGAAUCCCGCCCGGA
rfam:Crenarchaeota archaeon 13_1_40CM_3_52_4 13_1_40cm_3_scaffold_7423, whole genome shotgun sequence.